rnacentral:rRNA from 1 species
UACGAAGGGGGCUAGCGUUGUUCGGAAUUACUGGGCGUAAAGGGCGCGUAGGCGGCGUGUCAAGUCAGGCGUGAAAGCCCCGGGCUCAACCUGGGAACCGCGCUUGAGACUGGAGAACUAGAGUUCGGGAGAGGAUGGUGGAAUUCCCAGUGUAGAGGUGAAAUUCGUAGAUAUUCGGAAGAACACCAGUGGCGAAGGCGACUCACUGGACGAUUGUUGACGCUGAGGUGCGAAAGCGUGGGGAGCAAACAGGG